GUCUCACUGAGUUGCUUAGGGCCUCGCUAAGUUGCUGAGGUUGACUUUGGACUUGAGAUCCUACUGCCUCAGCCUCCUGAGCCACUGGGAUUACAGUUGUGUGCCACUGCACCAGGCAUGAGGGUGAUUUACCACAGAGUGCUGUGGCUUGCUGGGACUGUGCUUCUGGCCUGUGUUGGCCUUGAGUUGUUGGAGUUCAUGUCAGACGGCAACUCCAGAGGCUAAGGGCACUGCUAUGGUUUGAAUAAGUGUACCCCAGGGCCCGUGCUGAGGGCUCAGUGGUCACCAGGGUGCACCUUGGGAGGUGGUGGGACAUUUGGGAGGUGGGGCCUAGUGAGAGGUGUGCCCUUGAAGAAGAUUGUGGGAGCCCAGUCUCUUUCCUCUUUUCUUUUUUGCUUCCUGGUUUGUGAUGUAAAUGGUUUUACUUUGCCACUUGCUGCCUCACCACAGGCCCAGAGCCAUGAGCCCAACCAGUCAUGAUCCAACCAGACUGAAACCUUCAAAACUGAGCCAAAACCAGUCUUUUCUCUACAUUAGUUGAUGAUCUCAGGCAUUCCGUUACAGUGCUGGAAAGCUAACCAGGCAGGUCUGUGAGAGGCCUAUGCUUGUGUCCUGGAUGAGUGUGCCAACAUUCCAGGUAUUUUUGGUUGGCACUCAGUUUAGGAACUUCCCACAGAGAUUAAGGGAUGCCAGAAUUUAAAAAUUGAUAACUCACAUUUAUAAUUUAUGGUGGAUCUUUUUUCAGUGAUGCUGGACACUGGGAACUUUGGUGGGAUGAAAAUAGAAUUAAAAUCAAGUCAUGGGAGUGCAUUUACAUAGGCAAAUUCUUUAUUUGGUUCUCCCCUGCGGAAGGGAGGCCUGGCUCCUGCAAGAAAAUGUCAGGCGGCUCUCUAGAGCAAUAAAAAAAGACAGUUUUAUUGUCUGUGGUGAAGUGGGGUUCAGGAAUGUCGUCCUGAAACGCUAAGUGAAAGUUGCCCUGGUGAGCACAGGGACCACACCUAUGAUCCCAGUGACAGGCUGAGACAGGAGGGUCACAAAUUUGAAGCCAGCUUAGCAACUCCGUGAAGUCCAAAGCCACUAAGACUUGGUCUCAAAAAUAAAAAGAGCUGGAGAUAUAGUUCAGUGUAAAGCAUUCCUGGGUUCAGUCCCCCACAAAAUUCAGUUCCCCGGCUCCACUGAUGCGUCUGGCCCUGUCCGAGGAUGCAUAAGUGAGGCACGUUGAGAACUAGGGUGGGACCUUCUCGUGGUUGUCAGACCAUAAGCCAAGGUCCAGGAGCUGUUUGCCCAUGGAGGGGCAGCAGCAGGACAUGUGUAGAGGGCACACAUACCAAGGAGGGCAGCAUUGCAUUUUUCAAGAGGAGGGCAUGUCUGAGUUGAGCAGGAAACCAGAGGGAGGAAGAGACAUCACUUAACCAGAGAGGGCUUUCAAGAUGGUCCAGAAUUCUCUGUGGAAUUUGGACUUUCUUUUCCACCCAGUCCAGCAGGGACUUCUGCAAAUCAGGAGCAUUCGACAAGGUCGAGGCUAGAGAGGGCCCAACGGGAGCCUCCAUCUUCUCUGCCUGUAGCUGAGAACUUCUGCUGUGUGAGAAGUCAAGGGACAGAUCUCUGUGACUUUGAAGCAGAGUGGUGACACCAUCAGAUAGUUGUGUGAGGAAGGAAUCCCGUGUGCUCAGGGCUAGAGCAGAGGCCGUUCAGGUUGCCUUCCUGGGAGCGGCACAGGCAGCUGCAUCGGAAGCAGAUAGCCCACCUGCUCGGCCACUGCCAAGUCGCCUGCACCCCCAGUGCUUUCUGCAGUCUAGUUUGUAUCUGGGUGUUUAUGAAAGUUGCUUUUCCACACGUCCUCAGCAGCCUCAAGCACAGUGGCAUUUAGGCCAGUGUUUUGUCUCUGUGAGGCUGGGAACCUUCUUUGUAUUGGGAUGAGGGGACAGGGAAGUUAAUUUGGGGAUCUGAGGCCUUCAGUAAUAGGAUGGAAAUGACUUUGUUUAUCUUCUGAUUGAGGCAAAAUAGCAUAAGAGAGCUGGGUGCCAUGGUGCGUGCCUGUAAUCCCAGCUACUUGGGAGGCUGAAGCAGGAGGAUUGCAAGUUUGAGACCUGUUUAAUGAAAUCCUCUCUCAAAAACUUUUUUUAAAAAAUAUUUUUCAUUGUUGAUGGACACAAGACCUUUAUUUCAUUUACUGAUUUUAUGUGAUGCCAAGAAUUAAAUCCAGUGCCUCACACGUGAUAUGCUUCAAGCACUCUACCACUGAGCUACAACCCCAGCCUUCAGAACUUUUUUAAGGUACUGGUCAUGUAGCUGACAGGUAGAGCGCUCUUGGGUCAGUCUCUAGUACACACACACAAACACACACACACAGCAUUAAGAUUGAGGUUUUCUGCAGGCUGGUUACAACCGCUGCCUCUGGCCCCCUCUCUUGUCCACCUUGCUGUCCUCAUCUGUAGGAUGAAGAUGGGAGUUCCUGCCUCAGGGGACACUGUGAGGAAAGCUGUGUCUGAAACAUUUAGCGGGGUGUUUGGUACAUGGCAACUGCUCAGUAAAUAUUGUUAAUAAUCACAGAAAGUAACACAUGCUUAUAAAAAAUAUAGGAAAGUAUAAGGAAAACAGAUCACCUUUGUGCUACCACCUGUUUACAGUCCAAGUCCAUCUGUCUAGGUGGUCCUCUGUUGGUGCAGGUGCACAGUGGUGAACUUACUUCCUGUAUGCACAGAAGCAAGUAAUCUUGGAACAGGAAAACAAGGAGCCUAAUAUGCUCUCUCGUGGGCGCCAAAUCUGCCGCGCGAAUAGCACGCUAGCUUCAUACUAGAGGUUCCAAACAUAGAAGUUAACUAGUGAGAUCAAAUUAAAGACACAUAAAACUCAAUUUACCUUUUUCUUGCCCAGUUAAGAGACGGCUUCUCCCCGCUCCUACCUCUAGCCACCUGAUGUGGUAGCGAGGUUUACACAAGAGACCAGCAGGAGAGAGGAAGAAGCACGCCAGAGAGUGGGCUUUUAUUGGGGAACAAAAAACUUGGGAAAAUUCUAUCCAGUGAAGGUCGAGGGGGACAGCAUUCCAAUCAGUGAUUGGUUUCCAGGUCAAUGGUCAGUCACACCCCCACACGGACAAGCCCUUGCACCCGGAAAGGGUGGGGAAGGCUCUGACACAGCUGGUCUGAGCGCCUCACACCCAGUCAGGCAGGUAGCUUAAUCAUGUGCGAGAACGGCUUCCCACACUAAGAUAGGAAAAAACAUUGUUUUCUUUCCAUAUUCAUGCUACUCUCAAGACAUUUUGACACCAAAUGUGUGGGGUUUUCCCCACAGGAACGAUUCUCCAGCACAAACUGGGUGACCUACAAUUCAAUUCAGUUCUGACACAGUCGGAUUAAGGUACUUUAGGAACACUAGGUAUCACUCUGGUUUGAACAUGAGACAUAAUAGGACCCCUUUAGAUCCAGGAUUGCUCUGAGGGCUCCAUGCCAGCCUCCCUAGGCCCUCUCCCACAGCAGGAGGAGGAUGUGGGAAGAUAGACCACCUGCACCUGUUUUCCCCAGAACCCCCUCUGAAGCCAGCCCUGAGCUCCUUCCAGGUGUCUCAUCUAGAUCUCAGCUUCCAAGGGCCAAGCAUAUCCAAAGGCUGGCCAACAGGUGGUGUUUGUGGGAAGAAAGGACACGGUUCCGAGAGGUAGGCUGCUGGGGUGUCUACUGGGGGAUGUGUGAGGUUCUUUUGCAAUGGAAGAGCUGCAGGUGGGAAGAGAAGGGAGGCAGGCGGUGAGUGGGUCUGGAACUCUUCCCAUGUCACCAUCUCUUGGUGUUGAUCUCUGAGUGUCCAAGAAUUUCCUGUCAAUCUGACCUUCCAGAUCAUUAUGAAAAUGUUACAUCAAGAUAGAAGCAAGGAGUGUUACCCCAAAAAACCUAAAUAAACCCUCUAGCUUCACUUUCUCUUAAUUGACUUAAAAAUCACUAAUUUUUCUGGUCACAUAGCUGGGCAACACUAUGUUAAUCUUUCACUUGCUUCACACAGUCACAAUGGUGGUGAUAGUAGCCUGGGUUAGUUUUCUGGGACUAAGGAAUGCUGAUCCUUGGCUUGGGCCCAAGAGUGGGUCUGUCUUCACAGGAAGUUUGUCCCUUCUGCAGCCUUAACCUUUGGGUUGAAAAACCAGCCUCUAUCUCAGAGCAAAGCCUGUCCAAGGAAGGGACAUGGCCUUUGUCCUUGGAAAAACCCACAGAGCACUCCUAAGCACAUUCCCACCCUGCUAAGUUGUUUAUCUACAAAUAACAGGAGAGAUCUACUGAGCCAGAUGUCCCUGACUCCGUCAGGAUAGGUGGGGACCCAUAGCAGCCACCUAGCAGCCACCAAUCAGCAUGAGAAAGGGAAAUACCUGGGAUGCCAGAUGACCCUCCCAGUAGUUUAUGGUGGUUGAUAACAUGUUGGGAAACCAUGUAGUUCAGCACGUCCUCCCCUCUUGGCUUAAACCAAUCAGUUCAAAUGAAUACCCCUUUUGUACUGACCAAUCACCCCUACCCAACUUGUUCCCGCCAGUGAAUGCGCUAAUCAUGUUUUAGAGUUGUUAUUCGAUUUUCCUGCGGUGUGUGAUGAUUUGCUAAGAGAUGCUAUGAUGUAUGUGAAGUCCCUGCCCUCUCCAAAGAAUGUAUAAAAAUGCUGCAAACCCUGGGCUCGGGGCCUCUCAGCGUCACCAGUUGCUGUGUGUGUGCGCGGAGGACCGAGCUAGCUCGCAAUAAACACCUCUUUGCUGCUUACAUCGAUCUUGGGUCUCUGGUGGUCUUUGGGGGUCCCGAAUUCGAGC
rnacentral:lncRNA from 1 species